AGAGGUCCUGCCUGCCCUGUGAUAUAUAUUUAACGGCCGCGGUAUUUUGACCGUGCAAAGGUAGCGCAAUCACUUGUCCUUUAAAUGAAGACCUGUAUGAAUGGCACGACGAGGGCUUAACUGUCUCCUUUUUCCAAUCAAUGAAAUUGAUCUUCCCGUGCAGAAGCGGGAAUACAACCAUAAGACGAGAAGACCCUAUGGAGCUUUAAACAAAAAUAGAUCUUGUUAAACAUAUCUUAAUUAAAGAAGUGAACCGAAAGAAUCCUAUCAUUNAUGUUUUUGGUUGGGGCGACCGCGGGGAAACAAACAACCCCCAUGUGGACUAAGAAAACAUUUCUCACAAUAAAGAGCCACAGCUCUAAUUAACAGAAUUUCUGACCUANUAGAUCCGGCAAUGCCGAUCAACGGACCGAGUUACCCUAGGGAUAACAGCGCAAUCCUCUUUAAGAGUUCAUAUCGACAAGAGGGUUUACGACCUCGAUGUUGGAUCAGGACACCCUAAUGGUGCAGCAGCUAUUAAGGG
rnacentral:rRNA from 1 species